rnacentral:rRNA from 1 species
UACGUAGGCAGCGAGCGUUGUUCGGAGUUACUGGGCGUAAAGGGUGUGUAGGCGGUUGUUUAAGUUUGGUGUGAAAUCUCCCGGCUCAACCGGGAGGGUGCGCCGAAUACUGAAUAACUAGAGUGCGGGAGAGGAAAGUGGAAUUCCUGGUGUAGCGGUGAAAUGCGUAGAUAUCAGGAGGAACACCGGUGGUGUAGACGGCUUUCUGGACCGUAACUGACGCUGAGACACGAAAGCGUGGGUAGCAAACAGG